AUGUUUUUCUGUCUUCUUUUGUGGAUUCCAACUGAAUUGUCAUCUUUCCCGCCUUCCGCGCGGUUUCUUGGCUCAAGAUAUUCUGAUUCCCCUAGUAGUCUGACUGCUCUUUCUCUCAAGCGAAGUGCUUCUCGGGACAAAGGGCAGAAGGGAAGGUUCGGUAGUAGGUUCCAGCUUGCACAUGCAGGAUCCCCCCUUCGUCUUUCUUUUCUCCCGGAUAUAGCGCGAGAGAAACGCGAACAGCUGAUUCUCAAGCAGGGGAUUCGUCGAAAACAACCUAUCUGUCUACUUGCUUUCAGUUCUGUUCCCGUCUCGAUCUUAGCUUAA